AUUGAACGCUGGCGGCAGGCCUAACACAUGCAAGUCGAGCGGAUGAAGGGAGCUUGCUCCUGGAUUCAGCGGCGGACGGGUGAGUAAUGCCUAGGAAUCUGCCUGGUAGUGGGGGAUAACGUCCGGAAACGGGCGCUAAUACCGCAUACGUCCUGAGGGAGAAAGUGGGGGAUCUUCGGACCUCACGCUAUCAGAUGAGCCUAGGUCGGAUUAGCUAGUUGGUGGGGUAAAGGCCUACCAAGGCGACGAUCCGUAACUGGUCUGAGAGGAUGAUCAGCCACACUGGAACUGAGACACGGUCCAGACUCCUACGGGAGGCAGCAGUGGGGAAUAUUGGACAAUGGGCGAAAGCCUGAUCCAGCCAUGCCGCGUGUGUGAAGAAGGUCUUCGGAUUGUAAAGCACUUUAAGUUGGGAGGAAGGGCAGUAAGUUAAUACCUUGCUGUUUUGACGUUACCAACAGAAUAAGCACCGGCCAACUUCGUG
rnacentral:rRNA from 1 species